GGUCUCCAGGCAGAAAUGCUUCUCGCCGUUUGGAGGAUCUGGCUCAUGUCUAUCUGUCCAAAAAGAGAAAGAUAAGUAGGAAAGAAUCACACCCUCCCGAUGGAAAAGGAAUUUGUAAUGCUGAACCUGAAAAUCUUCCUUUGUCAGAACCUACGAUGCCUUCCAUCCCCAUCCUCCUGACCCAGGAAUCCGGGGCAACAGAGAAUGAGACUGACGUUCUCCAGACCACUGUGAAUGACUUGCAUGGCAAUGAUGUACACAUAGAGAGUUUUUUUUUGUCUUGUUCGGAAGAGCACACUACUGGAGUUGAAUCGCUUGAAGUGGGUGAGCUUGUUGAGGAACCCCUGGACGCUACAAUGAACAUAUCCUCUUACAGAUACCAAGCUCCUGAUUCCACCUUAUUAUUAACUUUGACUUCUGUAGAUUCCUUCCCUUGCAGGGUCUACAAGCACUUACGCUCAAGGGAGAGUGGAAGAAUUUGAAUUUGUGGACUACUUAAAGAUUCCAGAAGAGUACAAAACUUUGUAUAAGAAGAUCUAUGAUAAGUAUGGGCAUAUGGCGUCUAGAAAAGUCAUCAAUUUCAAUGAUGAUAUGUUACUCACAUGUGUUACCUGUUUAUUAAAGAUCAUCUCGGAUAUGGAAACUGUGCCUGGUGCAGAACUGAGUGAAGAUUUGCUGCAGAGAUGGGAAAGAUUCAUCAAAGAUGCCAGCUGGAGAACCAAGUGUUCUACCACACAUACCAGGUAGGUUUGCUGCAGAACCAAGUGUUCAUGAUCUUUGUACUACAAAGAACUUGUAUUCCCUUAGGACAUAGGAAUGAACUUGAUAUAAGUGAGAACGAACUGAACUUAGAAAGUUUCUACAUAUUCCCUUAGAAUUUUUUUGGUACUUCAAGAAUUUGUUUUCCUUUUUGAUAAGUAUUGAAUGAGUAUUGAUAUGAAUGUUUAUGU